rnacentral:rRNA from 1 species
UACACUCCUGCGGGAGGCAGCAGUGGGGAAUAUUGGACAAUGGGCGCAAGCCUGAUCCAGCCAUGCCGCGUGAGUGAUGAAGGCCCUAGGGUUGUAAAGCUCUUUCACCGGUGAAGAUAAUGACGGUAACCGGAGAAGAAGCCCCGGCUAACUUCGUGCCAGCAGCCGCGGUAAUACGAAGGGGGCUAGCGUUGUUCGGAUUUACUGGGCGUAAAGCGCACGUAGGCGGACUAUUAAGUCAGGGGUGAAAUCCCGGGGCUCAACCCCGGAACUGCCUUUGAUACUGGUAGUCUUGAGUUCGAGAGAGGUGAGUGGAAUUCCGGGUGUAGAGGUGAAAUUCGUAGAUAUUCGGAGGAACACCAGUGGCGAAGGCGGCUCACUGGCUCGAUACUGACGCUGAGGUGCGAAAGCGUGGGGAGCAAACAGGAUUAGAAACCCCGGUAGUCCCAUG